UAUGUCGACUUGUUCAUUUUUUAUUGUUUAUUGCGGAGAAUUUUCAGCUAAUUUUUCAUCAAAACAUAUAUACUAGCAUAAAAUAUGUGAUAUAGUAUCAUGUACACAUAAAAUAGUAGGUUGUUUGAAUAUUAUACGAACAUGUUACAUAGCCAAGUCGCAGUGACAAAUCGAACAUCUCCCAACCCGCUGCAGAUGAAUGAACUUUAUGUUCUCUUGCAAAAAUGUUGCGAAGUGAACGAAUGCAGCACAUGGGAGAAGAGGAGAGGAUACUUCUAUUAGACUUAAUCAAUGAAAGAAGAGGUGUUCUCCUCAGCAAAGCCACCAACCGUGACCAACGCCCGCAUUAUACCGGUCAAGGCAAGAGUAUGGGAGGAGAUCACGAACUCUCUUGCUGCCAGUGGUCUGGGGCCGCAGAGGACUGUAAAACAGAUUAAGAAGAUUUAGGAAAACAUGAGAUCAAGGGCCAAGAAGUUUGUUAGUGACCAGAGGAAAAAACUGUGUUGAACAGGAGGUGGUCCUCUAAGUCCAGUUGUCAAGCCAGACCCUGUAUUGGAGAAAAUCCUUGCUCUCAUCGCAGACGAGCUAGAACCGGACCCAAACCACAGUGACAGUGACAUGGCCAACAGAUGUCACUGUCGUUGUUAUUAAUGAGAAGGGAGAGCAGUUGGAUGAGCCGAUGGCCAUGACUGAACAGCCAUCCACAGCACGCUCAGUGCCUAUUUCGCUCAUGCCUGCCAGAGGAAAUGAUAGUGCACCUGCUGCUUGCACCUCUUUUGUUGAGUCAUCGGGAACUGCAGCUUUGCUCUACAGUCCUGCCAUCCACCGCACACCUCUUUCUUUAACUUCUAAGGAUGUUCAUGGAACUGUAGUGUCAUCCUCAAGCUCCUCCAACCACUGUACACCACUUCCUUCAACCUCUGUUGAUGUACAGUAGCUUCAAUUUGCAACAGUAGCUUCAAUUUGUAGCACACCUCUUCCUUCCACCUCUGUUUUGGCAUCGGUACCAGUUACCUUUCCAAGUGAAUUGUCACCAAUACAGUCUUCCAGUGCGAGAGGAAAAGUGAGUGGGAAAAAGUUUAAAGCAAAGAAAAGGCAAGUGGAAGACAGUGUUGGCAGAGAGUCCUAUGAAAUGUUGUCAAAGUUUCAAAAGGAAGAACAUGAAAUAGUGAUGCAAAUUCAUAAACAAAACUUAGAAAAUAAAAAGAUUGAAGGGGACUGUUUAUGCCAAGCAAUGAAAAUUAUGUCUUCUAUACAUUCAAGAGUUGGAGACACACUGGAAGAUGUGCGUGCAGAUGCAGGUGCAUUUGUAGAUUUCUUGGACAAUUCUAGAAAUGAUCAGGCAUAAAUUUGUUUUGCGGUGUUGCUGUAAGAUCAAGAUCCAAAGUUUCUUUACUCACCCAGUUUAGUA